UAUGGCGCGCCAACGCAGUGCAUCUUUUGGAUGGCGUUUCAAAUAACAAUUUGUGUUCAAAGAAGAAAAGGACAGGAAUGUAACAGUUCAAUGCAAACUAUGUUUGCCCACGGUAAAGCUGCUGUUGACAUCCAGAGACUCCACUUCCAACCUGAAGAAACACUUAGAGAGGAUGCAUAACAAUCAAUGGAACACCCUGAGCAGGAAGAGGCAGCCAGAUGACAUGGUGCAGUGCAGAGAUGCACAGCCAUCUACAGAUUGCCAAAAAGGGACAUUGUGUACACCAUUGAAACAAGCAAAACUACAACCAGGAGGACCACACACCUUACAAAGCCGGGUUAAUCACCUGGUAUUUGACUUCAUCAUAGAGAUGUGCAACCCUUUUCACUAGUAGAGGUGCCUUCAUUCCACAAGCUAGUAGAAGGAAUCAGUGGUGGGAGAAAGGUCAUGUGUAGAAAGACUUUGAUGCAACGAAUUGAAAGGGAAUUAGAGUCCAUGAAAGAAGCUCUCUCAACCAAACUCCAGAGCGUAAAGUCAGUCUGCACCACAGGAGACAUCUGGUCUGCCCAUAACAGAAGCUUCUUCGGCAUGACAUGCCACUGGAUCGAGGAGGACACCUUGGAGAGGAAAUCAGCUGCUUUGGCUUGUGCGAGACUGAGAGGACGUCAUACCUAUGAUGUGAUUGCUGCCAAGUUAAGUGAAAUACAUGCAGACUUUAAAAUUCAGCACAAAGUGAAGGCCACAGUGGCAGACAAUGGAAGCAACUUUGUAAAGGCUUUCUGGGAGUUCAGUGGCCAUGAAGAGGAGCAAGAUGAGGUGGAUGAUGGAGUGAGGUUUGAUGAUUCUUGAUGAGGUUGAGCAAGAACUGAACUUUUUUCUCCCUCCACAUCAACGUUGUGUGACCCUCAACCUCAUCGCCACCAAUGAGGUGGACAAAGCUGCAUCCCAAGGUCCAUCACGAAAAUUGUACAGAAGUGCAAUGUCAAAAUGUUCCAGCAUUUAGAACAAAGCACACAGGUCCACAUUAGCUUCAGAGGCAAUAGAGGACAUUGCAAGCAUGAAAGCAACUGUGCCAUGUGUGACAAGAUGGAGCUCAGAGGACCGUGCCAUCUCCAAACUCAUAGCCCUCACGGAUGACCAGCUGGCGCAAUCUGUGAAGACCUGGGUGUGAGCAGCAAACUACAUCCUUGUGAGAUUGCUUUUCUCAAGGAGUACAGUACAGUCCUACAGCCACUUACAUUCUCUAUUGAUCUUCUACAGGGAGAGAAGAAGUGUUUUCUUCGCUUUCUUAUCCCAACAAUCCUAAGCUUGAAGUCUAACCUCUUGCGACAUUCUCUGCACACAUCAUCACUGCGGUCAUUGAGGCUAUAGAACGCCGGUUUGGACCUAUGCUAAGCACCCAUGAAGCAAAAAUGGCAACUGCUACCGUGCCAAAGUUUUGACUGUGUUGGCUCAACCCUGGAAAGAGAGAGGAGAUGCGGAGCACAUUAGUUCAAGAAGCAGCUUCUAUGGAGAACACACACUCUGAAGAGGUUGAUGAGGGAGCACAGAACGAGUCUGAUGAGUCAGAAGACAAUUUUUUUGUGUUUGGAGGUGCAACAACAAGGGCCGGUGGCACUGCAGAGGAUGAGGUGAAGAAGUAUCUCGAAGACAAAGACAAGUCUUUGGACUCCUUAAAAUCGUUCCCCAUAGUCCGGAACUUGUUUCUGAAGUACAACACUACUCUGCCCUCCAGUGCCCCAGUUGGGAGCCUUUUCAGCUAUGGUGGAAACCUGUUUACCCCUCAGCGAAAACAGGAUGUCUAAUGCUCAUCUAGAGCACAUCCUCUUGCUGCGAUACAACAGCAAUUUCUGCCUUCAAUCAUCUGAGUAGGCUAGCUUCAGAAUAGACCUACUGCAAUGCCAUGUCUGAUAUGUGGAUUUAUUGUACCUAGCUGCACUUUUUGCUUAAACUUUUAAAAAACUAAUUGGUGGACUAAAUGUGUGAUUACACUGUUCAUGUUGUGAAAAAAAUUUUUUUCUUGAUAUUUCUAUUUCUCAUUUUAGUAAUUUAGCAGACGCUCUUAUCCAGAGUGCAUACAUUUUAAUACUUUUGUGUACUGGUGUCCCGUGGGACACAGUAAGUGUUUAGCACCAUCCAUGUUGCUGUGUUACUUAAGCCCUUACUUAUACCUGGUUUUAACAUGUAUCCUUUAUCCUGCGCAUUGUGUUUGUGCCCACAUUAUUAGACAGAUGUACAUGAUUAAAAGACACAUUGUGUUCUGACUGUGAACAGAUCUUAUAGGUGUAAAUGAUCAGGAUGAAGGAUGCAUGUUAGAGGCAGGUAUACAGGGCUUAAAUACAUUUUUGUCACAAUGUUUUGUGAUGUGUUCUAUUGUGGCUCUGCUUAGUGGCUCAAACAUCCUGCAAUAAAUGUUGUUAAAUUGGUAA